rnacentral:rRNA from 1 species
CGCGCAGGCGGCUGUUCAAGUCCGAUGUGAAAGCUUCCGGCUUAACUGGAAAACGGCAUCGGAUACUGGACGGCUGGAAGGUGGGAGAGGGUAGCGGAAUUCCCGGUGCAGUGGUGAAAUGCGUAGAUAUCGGGAGAAACACCAGUGGCGAAAGCGGCUACCUGGCCCACUCUUGACGCUGAGGCGCGAAAGCUAGGGAGCAAACG